rnacentral:tRNA from 1 species
GUUGAGACGCCUAGUUGGUCUAAGGCGCCGGAUUAAGGUUCUGAUCCGAAAGGUCUUGGGCUCAAAUCCCACUCUCAACA